GAUCUCUUGUGAUGUAUUGCACUGGGCUCAGAAGAUCAGUGGUGACAGACGUGCGCUUCUGCCCUUGACAAGGCAGAGUCUGAGGAGAAC
rnacentral:snoRNA from 1 species